UACGUAGGGUGCAAGCGUUAAUCGGAAUUACUGGGCGUAAAGCGUGCGCAGGCGGUUUUGUAAGCCAGAUGUGAAAUCCCCGGGCUUAACCUGGGAAUGGCAUUUGGGGCUGCAAGGCUGGAGUUUGGCAGAGGAGACUGGAAUUCCUGGUGUAGCAGUGAAAUGCGUAGAUAUCAGGAGGAAUACCGAUGGCGAAGGCAGGUCUCUGGGCUAUAACUGACGCUCAUGCACGAAAGCGUGGGGAGCAAACAGG
rnacentral:rRNA from 1 species